GACGAACGCUGGCGGCGUGCCUAAUACAUGCAAGUUGAGCGCUGAAGGUUGGUACUUGUACCGACUGGAUGAGCAGCGAACGGGUGAGUAACGCGUGGGUAAUCUGCCUUUGAGCGGGGGACAACAUUUGGAAACGAAUGCUAAUACCGCAUAAAAACUUUAAACACAAGUUUUAAGUUUGAAAGAUGCAAUUGCAUCACUCAAAGAUGAUCCCGCGUUGUAUUAGCUAGUUGGUGAGGUAAAGGCUCACCAAGGCGAUGAUACAUAGCCGACCUGAGAGGGUGGACGGCCAAAUUGGGACUGAGAAAAGGCUCCAGCUCCUACGGGAGGCAGCAGUAGGGAAACUUCGGAAAUGGACGAAAGUCUGACCGAGCAAAGCCGCGUGAGGGAAGAAGGGUUUCGGAUCGUAAAACUCUGUUGGUAGAGAAGAACGUUGGGGAGAGUGGAAAGCUCAUCAAGUGACGGUAACUACCCAGAAAGCGACGGCUAACUACGUG
rnacentral:rRNA from 1 species